rnacentral:rRNA from 1 species
ACGGGAGGCAGCAGUGGGGAAUAUUGCACAAUGGGCGCAAGCCUGAUGCAGCGAUGCCGCGUGAGGGAAGAAGGUUUUCGGAUUGUAAACCUCUGUCAACAGGGACGAAAAUGACUGUACCUGUGAAGGAAGCUCCGGCUAACUACGUGCCAGCAGCCGCGGUAAUACGUAGGGAGCAAGCGUUAUCCGGAAUUACUGGGUGUAAAGGGUGCGCAGGCGGGACUGCAAGUUGGAUGUGAAAUACCGAGGCUUAACCUCGGAGCUGCAUCCAAAACUGUGGUUCUUGAGUGGAGUAGAGGUAAGCGGAAUUCCGAGUGUAGCGGUGAAAUGCGUAGAUAUUCGGAGGAACACCAGUGGCGAAGGCGGCUUACUGGGCUCUAACUGACGCUGAGGCACGAAAGUGUGGGUAGCAAACAGGAUUAGAUACCCUGGUA